CUUAACACAAAGAGGGCAGACCAUAAUACGACAUCAACUUCCUCAGCCAGUAGGAGCCGAGCAGGCAGGCUGCUGCCGCUGAGUCCGUGUUCCCCUUCAACACAGGCUGACCUGAUUUCUUCCCCUGCCAUUCUCACUGAUUAGGUAACAGCCGUUACAUAAUGUCAGCUUCACUAGGGUGUGUGUAGUAGGUAGUUUGGCCUGUCCCUGCAGCAAUUCACAUAUACAGGCCCUUUAACAAAUGUAUCUAGACAAACACAUUGUACUGAUAUAAGUGAUGCAUGUCAUCUCAAGUAAAUUGACAGUGCACCCCUUGCAUUUUUCAUGUUGUGAUUUUCUGACGAAUAGGUAUCAUUAACUAUUGGAUUAAAUGCUGGCAUAAAGGUGGACUGAGACAAAAAUAGUACCACAUAUUCUUUUCCACAGAAAAUAGGACAGAUACCAUAAAAUGUUUGUCUUCAUCAUCAGUUCUGACCUCAUUAAAAGGCCCGCUUCAUCCAAUCCAAUGAUGUGAUAUUUUCUCACACAUUUCAAGAAUAUGGUGUUAUUACAGACAUUAAACUCUCUGAAAAUACCCAUUGUCAUUAUAUUUCUGUAUUAGAAUACAUGGAAAAAUGGCGAAGUGACACUAAAACGCCUUUGUCUACCAAACUUAACAUGUAUUACUUCUGCUUAGUACAUAAUUACACAGUAGCCUACUACUAUAGUACAAAGUUAAAGAGAAAAAUCGUAAGAUUUUACAUUGGAGGAUCAAGUCCCUAAACUUUUUGAUUUGAGGAUAUUGGAUUGAUUCAGAAUGCAGAAAAAUAUGCUGCAUUCCAAUCCCAUGGGAAAUAUCAGCUUUUACAAGUCAUUCGGCAAACUUAACCCCAAAUACCUAAAUCAAGUCAUAUGUGUCCUGUAAUGUGAUUUUGCAAGCAGUGGUGAUUUGUAAAAUGGCAUGUAAUGAAAAGUAUUGAUUUUAUUUUAUUUUUUCCCCAAUAGGGAAUGUAACACACCCACUACACAAAUAAUUUCUAUGGCCGAUUUAACAAUGUUAACAUUAAAACCAGUGCUCAGCUUAUAUAUUAACACAUGAAAAACGAGUUGGAAGUAAUUUCUAGAAAUAUUUUUUCAGCCGAAGUCCCUGAACAACACUGCAUUCUACGCGUAGAUGCUUGUAUAUCCCAGGGGCCGUGAAAGCGCCACAUCUUUCGACGACUUUAUUCAACACGCCCCCACGUGGAGCAGGCAUGUUCUUUCCCCGGGAAAACUGGGUCACCGCCUGCAGUCUGUGGUCACCGCGAGCUGCCUCACGUGUACCCGCGGCCAGACGCCACACCAUCUUGACGGGAGAAAUUAUGCAAUGCGCCACGUCACGACGCCACUCGGCCAAUGAGCGGCGACGCACGGGGGAGCGUAAACACUGGUGCACAUGGCCAGGCUGGUGAGUCCAUGUGAGAAGGGAGGACUGCAGUGCUGAUGAAGCUAUCUACUUAGCGUCGGCUCAACCACCGCGAGGUGAGCUUUAGCAUGAGACUGGGAAGAGGUGAGGAUUUGGAGAGCUAUCCACGCACCAGGACAUCUGACAGUGCUGGACCAACUGCACACGCCCGCCACAACUUUGAAGAUCCUUUGAGUACUUUCAUAGGAAUGAUGGUCCGAUUGAUGUGAGUGAUAUUUUGGACAGGCUGAUAAACAGCAUCGCAUCAUACAAACCAGUGUAAGAAAUUCCUGUGUGUGAACAGCUGUCCCCCAUGAAAGCCUGCUGCCCCUUCACUGAAUACAUGCUGAGGAAACCUGCCUAAUUCAGAAUCAAGUUCUGGAUCCCUGCUGAUGUGGAGACGAAAUACUGUAUCUGGUCCAUGGAUGGAUCUGAGCCGCCCCGCUACUCAGAGUCUCGUGAAGAGUGUGGUUCUGAAGUUGACGGAGCCUUAUUAGGGCAAGGGUAGACAUACAACACUUUCCUACAAACUCCUGGCCAAGAAUACAGGCCCUGUUGGCACCACCAACAAGAACAAGAGGUCACUGCGUCCUUUUGCACACCAGAAAGCUCCACCGCAUGACACGAAAGUGAUGCAGAACGACAAGCCAACCCUCACCAUUUACCAGGGAAAAGAAAAGAAGAAUGUCUGCCUCCUCAGCACCAUGCACUUAUCGGUGGAUCCACAAGAUGAUGCCAAAAACAAAGCCAGGGAUGGUUCACUUCUACAUCCAGACCAUGGUUGGAGUAGAUGUGAAACACAUAACAGAUUCUAAAUAAAACGUUUAAACAAACUCUGAUAGAUCAUAGAGCAAA